CCAACAUAUGAAGAAGGAUGUGUUUGCUUCCCCUUCCACCAUGAUGGUGCAUUUCCUGAGGCCUCCCCAUCCUUGCUGAAUUAUGGUACGUCUCUCCUUCAUGUGCUGCCUGGGGUUGAGGAGAAGUGGCAUAGAGAUACAAGCCUCCUGGGUGAUGAGAAAGACAGAGAAGCAUUUUUCAUAGAGAGUUGCCAGGAUUGCUCAGCAUCCAGAUCAACCAUGAAAGGCACCAGGAGAAUGAACAUCUGCAUUUUUCUUGUCCAUGAUUCUUCUACAUAAUGCUACUGAAGCGAAGAUAAUCUUUAAUUGUAGAAACAAGAAGAGAAGCAAAUAUAUUACUAGUAUCCAGAAGCUCCUUCACAGUUUUCAGAUAAUGCUAAUGAGCUAGUUCCUGGUUUGUAUCACAAACUUCUCCCAAAUUCUUCCCCUAAACAUUCCUUCAUGGUGGAGCUAAUUAGACUAUUGCAGCUCCACCGUUCAUUACUGCUUGUAUUUUGUAAAAAUUAGUGCAUAUGUCAUGGGCCUAGGGAUACAUCCAUUGCAGGGAAAUGGGAGUAGGGCAUUCCCAGUUUUAGCUAUAAUUGAAAAUUAUUCUUAGGGACGAAAAUGCCAUUGAAUAAUUCUGCCUUUUCUCCUCCUUGUUCUCUCUCUCUCUCUCUCUCUGUCUCUCUCAUAUCUAUCUUCUUUCUUUCUUUCUUUCUUUCUUUCUUUCUUUCUUUCUUUCUUUCUUUCUCUCUCUCUCUCUCUCUCUCUUUACUAAGUCUGGAAACCCUUAGAGUUUCUCUUGAAUAUAUCAAGCUAAUUAUUUUUAUUUUUAUUCACUACCUUUCAUGCAUUUCCUACUUCCAAUAAUCCUUUUUUAUUAAGUCUCCCAAUCCAAGUCCACCCUCACUCAAAAGUGACCUUCCCAGAGUAGGGUGUACAAUGCGGAGUCCACAUAAGCAUCUCUAUACUUCUAAGUUUUAUGCCAAGAGCAUGCUUAUUUUAAUAAGCAAAAAACAAGUAACAAUGAAGAAAAUAAUCAUAAAGUAAAAAUCCAAAAAAAUAGAAUAACAGAAGGUUUUCCUCAGAAUUAAAAAUAAACCUAUUUUUAUGCAGACAUAAAAUGAAAAAGUCUUUUAUGCACAGAUGUGUGAACCGGGACUAUAGCUGGGUAAUCAAAUGGAAAUAAAAGACAGUUUUUCUUACUUUAAGUCAUUUCACUAACAAGCCUACCGAAUGCAUUUGGAAACGAUCUUUCAUUGAUCAUUUUCUAUUAUUAAUUAUGGAUAAGCAGAGAUUUUUUCAAAAGCCCCUGAACCUGCUUAGCUUGUACAAAGAUGCCACAAAUCAGAGCCCACGGGUUACAGGAAUUAUUGAUCCUUCUAUAAAACGGUCAUGCAAUCUCCUUCCUGAAUCCAGUAAAAUACUGAAUAAUAGGCUGAAAAGACAUCACCAUAGUAUUAAUCCAAGUACUGAAUUGAACAAUCAGUGGGCAAUCUUUAGUUUUCUCCUUAUGUUAAUGGUAGUUCAAACAAUAACUUUGUAUUAUGUAUUUUUCUAUUUUAUGUUUUUCUUGCAAUUAUAACAUGUUUCAGAAAGUUUUUCUAGCAUCUCACCAUCCAUAAAAAUUCUCUCAGGAGGAGGAAGAAUUUUCCUUGUGACAAUUUCAGAGACAUUCUUAUUUUUAGAUAGAAUUUUUAAUAAACUCUAACAAUUUCCUGACUGAACUUCAGCUGGUACCCCUCCUUUUUCUUUUUUCUUUCUUUCUUUCUUUUUUCUUUUUUUUUUUUUUUGGUCU
rnacentral:lncRNA from 1 species